rnacentral:misc_RNA from 1 species
AUAUUGCGUUAAGGAUUGCAAUGAAAAGCCCACAGCAUCUCUGAUGAAAUCGGGAUGCGAGGACUUGUAAUGUAAAGCCUGACCCGAA